UCCGUGUUCACCACGGCAGUCUCCUUAGAGAGCCCAACUGAAUGCUGGCAACUAAGGACAAGGGUUGCGCUCGUUGCGGGACUUAACCCAACAUGUCACCACACGAGCUGACGACAGCCAUGCAGCACCUGUCUUCUCGUAGUAUUGCUACUAACUCGAUAUCUCUACCGAUAGCGAGAGAUGUCAAACCCAGGUAAGGUUCUUCGCGUUGCUUCGAAUUAAACCACAUGAUCCACCGCUUGUGCGGGCCCCCGUCAAUUCCUUUGAGUUUUAGUCUUGCGACCGUACUUCCCAGGCGGGGUACUUAGUGCGUUAGCGCCGGUUCAGCGGGGGUCAAGACCCACCAAACCUAGUACCCAUCGUUUACAGCGUGGACUAC
rnacentral:misc_RNA from 1 species